rnacentral:rRNA from 1 species
UACGGAGGGGGCUAGCGUUGUUCGGAAUUACUGGGCGUAAAGCGCACGUAGGCGGCUUUGUAAGUUAGAGGUGAAAGCCCGGGGCUCAACCCCGGAAUUGCCUUUAAGACUGCAUCGCUUGAAUCCGGGAGAGGUGAGUGGAAUUCCGAGUGUAGAGGUGAAAUUCGUAGAUAUUCGGAAGAACACCAGUGGCGAAGGCGACUCACUGGACACAUAUUGACGCUGAGGUGCGAAAGCGUGGGGAGCGAACAGG